GACGAACGCUGGCGGCGUGCUUAACACAUGCAAGUCGAACGGAAAGGCCCUGCUUUUGUGGGGUGCUCGAGUGGCGAACGGGUGAGUAACACGUGAGUAACCUGCCCUUGACUUUGGGAUAACUUCAGGAAACUGGGGCUAAUACCGGAUAGGAGCUCCUGCUGCAUGGUGGGGGUUGGAAAGUUUCGGCGGUUGGGGAUGGACUCGCGGCUUAUCAGCUUGUUGGUGGGGUAGUGGCUUACCCAGGCUUUGACGGGUCGCCGGCCUGAGAGGGUGACCGGCCACAUGGGGACUGAGGUACGGCCCAGACGCCUACGGGGGGCAGCAGUGGGGAAUAUGGCACAAUGGGCGGAAGCCUGAUGCAGCAACGCCGCGGGCGGGAUGACGGCCUUCGGGUUGUAAACCGCUUUCGCCUGUGACGAAGCGUGAGUGACGGUAAUGGGUAAAGAAGCACCGGCUAACUACGUG
rnacentral:rRNA from 1 species